rnacentral:rRNA from 1 species
AACCCUUGUCCUUAGUUACCAACACGUUAUGGUGGGCACUCUAAGGAGACUGCCGGUGACAAACCGGAGGAAGGUGGGGAUGACGUCAAGUCAUCAUGGCCCUUACGGCCUGGGCUACACACGUGCUACAAUGGUCGGUACAAAGGGUUGCCAAGCCGCGAGGUGGAGCUAAUCCCAUAAAACCGAUCGUAGUCCGGAUCGCAGUCUGCAACUCGACUGCGUGAAGUCGGAAUCGCUAGUAAUCGUGAAUCAGAAUGUCACGGUGAAUACGUUCCGGGCCUU